GGUUGGGUGCCGGCUGCCAUCUUGGACCUCGCUCGUUUGAGAAGCCGGCCGCCCGUAAAAAUCUCGAGUUUGUCAAGCUCACGCGGCCUCAGGAAUCCCAUACGCAACUUUCUUAGUAUUGCAACUAAUUAGGAAUCCUAUUGCAGUAUAAAGAGUCAAAAUUUGGACGCGGAAUGCUUUAGGUUUACUUUUGUUAGCACGUGCUUGUGGGUGGACAAGUGGAAAACUACGAUCAAUUAGUAACAAUAAGAAUUCGGAGGUUGGUCAAGACAGUACAACUGUCGAUAAACCAAAUAGAAACACACAUAUACUUGAGAAAAUGGCAUUACCAAGUAGAGCAAGAGUUUAUACAGAAGUGAAUUCACAUAAAUCUAGAGAUUAUUGGGAUUACGAAUCAUACGUUGUUGAUUGGGGACAGCAAGAUGAUUAUCAGUUAGUAAGAAAACUUGGCAGAGGAAAGUAUAGUGAAGUAUUUGAAGCCAUAAAUGUAACGACCACUGAAAAAUGUGUUGUUAAGAUCUUGAAGCCUGUAAAAAAGAAGAAAAUAAAAAGAGAAAUUAAAAUCUUAGAAAAUCUUAAAGGAGGGACCAACAUAAUUACACUCCAGGCAGUUGUUAAAGAUCCAGUAUCAAGAACGCCGGCACUGAUUUUUGAGCAUGUCAACAACACAGAUUUCAAACAGUUAUACCAGACUCUAACAGACUACGACAUAAGAUACUACCUCUACGAAUUAUUAAAAGCAUUGGACUACUGUCACAGCAUGGGUAUAAUGCACAGAGAUGUAAAGCCGCACAAUGUUAUGAUAGACCAUGACAACCGAAAAUUGCGGUUAAUUGAUUGGGGUCUAGCAGAAUUUUAUCAUCCUGGGCAAGAAUACAACGUUCGAGUAGCUUCACGCUAUUUUAAGGGCCCAGAACUUCUUGUAGAUUAUCAGAUGUAUGACUACUCCCUAGAUAUGUGGUCGUUGGGCUGUAUGCUCGCGAGUAUGAUUUUUAGAAAAGAACCAUUCUUUCAUGGACAUGACAAUUACGACCAACUAGUUAGAAUCGCAAAAGUUCUUGGAACUGAAGAACUAUUGGAAUAUCUUGAUAAAUAUCAUAUCGAAUUAGAUCCUCGUUUUAAUGACAUAUUAGGAAGGCACUCGCGUAAGCGUUGGGAACGUUUCGUGCAUUCAGAAAAUCAACACUUAGUUUCACCGGAAAGUCUUGAUUUUCUCGACAAGCUAUUGCGUUAUGACCAUUAUGAAAGACUCACGGCACGUGAGGCUAUGGACCAUCCUUAUUUUUAUCCCAUAGUAAAAGAACAGGGUCGAUUAAAUAUGGUAUCAUCAUCACCUACUCCCAUGGCAGGCUCAUUGCCUGUAGAUGACCGUAGCAUGACUGUGAACAGCUUACCAGUUCAUGGAACAAAUGGAUCGGGAGGUAUGGACGGAGUUACAAGUGGGGUUCUGAUGCCCUUGGAAGAACUGCGUCCACUUUAAUAAGUUCAGUAUUUCUGAACUAUACACUAACUCCCAGUCUACAUCCUAAUACAACACAGCAACAGCAGAUAUAUUGUAUCGUCAACUACAUAUUCCUCUGCACCACAAUCAUUCUGCCAAGUACUCUUUGUGCUCUGUGAAUACCUGUGCAUCCAGCAGUAGAUGCUACCGACGCUGGUCGGCCAUCACAUUAUUCUACAAGAAUUAGGAAACCAUCAAUUUGGAAGUGCAAUGUAAGAUAAAAUUCGACACAUAGAGAUCUCUCAACAAUUAAUCGAUUAUGUACGUUUCGUCGUGGUUUUUUCUCUUUUUUCGUAUUUGACUAAAGAUUGAUUGAUUUUCUUUGGCCUCUUCUUUUUUUCUUUUUUUUUUUUUUUCUUCUAUUUGUUCUUGGGACAUAUCAUCAAAAAUCAACAAAUAGAUUCAUCAAAAGAUUAGAAUUUUCUCGUGAGAACAUGCAUGAUAUUAUUUAGUUCAAGCAAAUACACAGGUACUUUUAUCAAAAACAACUUGGCAUGGGAUAACGCCUGACAAAACUUCUUUUACAUACUAUCAAUAUACUUAAUUAGAUCACAUCCACCUUCCCCCCCCCCCACCAUGGCAUUAUAUAUAUGUAUGUGUAUACUUCUUGUACAUUUGGCGCAUCUGGUCCGCCUUUUAAAAAACAUAAUUUUACAUUAUUGGGUUUUUUUUGUUUUGUUUUUUUUUUUUUUUUUUAUAAUCUAGCUGACUGUCAUGUAAAUCGAUAUCACUUGAUUAUCCUAUGAAUAAUAUAUGAAAAGGAAAGCACAUAUUAAAUAAUAAUUCGUCAUCGAGAAAUCAUGAAGAGGGGCGGGCAUGCUUGUAAACAAUGUACAGUAAUAAUGAAACACACUCCACUUGCAUGCUGCUAUCAUUUUCGUACUAUUUUUCACAGAAAUUUAUCAGUUCCUAUAUACAUAAUAAUAAUAUUAAUAAUAAUAAUAAUAAUAAUAAUAAUAAUUGUUCAUAGAAAAAAAAAAGAUCAAUUGAACGUUAUUUGUACAUUUUUAUGUAAACAACGUUGACUGGUAUCAAGCGGAGUGUGAUGAAAAAUGUUUCAAUUGAAAAUGAAAUGAAGAAAUGUUCUAUCAACGUGUUGUAUCUACGAAAUAGUAUUUUUUUUUUUUUAUUGUUUAUUGUAACUGCGCCGUUUCUCACUCUUUUCUCUUCUUCAUGUAUAAAUAUUACCAUACUGUACAUGUUUCUAUGUGCGUGCAUGCUGUAUAUGCGUGAACAUACUUUUACAAAUUGCACACGCACACAGCGAAAUGUAGAUUGACGAAUGCAUUAAUCAAAAAAAAAAAAAAAAAAAAA